UACAGAGGUGGCAAGCGUUGUUCGGAAUUACUGGGCGUAAAGGGCGCGUAGGCGGUCCCAUAAGUCCUGUGUGAAAUCCCCCGGCUCAACUGGGGAAUUGCACGGGAAACUGCGGGGCUUGAGUUCGGGAGAGGGAAGCGGAAUUCCGGGUGUAGCGGUGAAAUGCGUAGAUAUCGGAAGGAACACCAGUGGCGAAAGCGGCUUCCUGGUCCAGCACCGACGUUCAGGCACGAAAGCGUGGGGAGCAAACAGG
rnacentral:rRNA from 1 species